rnacentral:rRNA from 1 species
AACGAACGCUGGCGGCAUGCCUAACACAUGCAAGUCGAACGAGACCUUCGGGUCUAGUUGCGCACGGGUGCGUAACGCGUGGGAACCUGCCCUUAGGUUCGGAAUAACUCCCCGAAAGGGGUGCUAAUACCGGAUAAUGUCUUCCGACCAAAGAUUUAUCGCCUUUGGAUGGGCCCGCGUUGGAUUAGCUAGUUGGUAGGGUAAAAGCCUACCAAGGCGACGAUCCAUAGCUGGUCUGAGAGGAUGAUCAGCCACACUGGGACUGAGACACGGCCCAGACUCCUACGGGAGGCAGCAGUGGGGAAUAUUGGACAAUGGGCGAAAGCCUGAUCCAGCAAUGCCGCGUGAGUGAUGAAGGCCUUAGGGUUGUAAAGCUCUUUUACCCGGGAUGAUAAUGACAGUACCGGGAGAAUAAGCUCCGGCUAACUCCGUG